rnacentral:rRNA from 1 species
GACGAACGCUGGCGGCGUGCUUAACACAUGCAAGUCGACGACGCUACUGAGUUGCAAUGUUUAGUAGUUGAGUGGCGCAAGGGUGAGUAAUGUAUACGUAACCAACCCAUCGGAGACGGGUAACAUUUCGAAAGGGAUGCUAAAACGGCAUGAAGCCACGGUGUCGCAUGGGGUUGGGGUUAAAGAACCGGUAACAGGUUGCCGAUGGCUGGGCGUAUAUCCGAUUAGCUAGUUGGUAGUGUAAUGGACUACCAAGGCGACGAUCGGUAGCUGGUCGGAGAGGAUGAUACACCAGCCUGGAACUGAGGCACGGGCCCUACUCCUACGGGAGGCAGCAGAGGGGUAUAUUAGGCACUGAACGCAAAGGUGACCCAGCAACGCCGCGUGGAAGAUGACGGCCGUAAGGUAGUAAACUCUGACAAGCAGGGAAGAACGUCUAUGGUAAAAGGCCAUAAUGACACGACCCCUGCAAGAAGCCCCGGCUAACUACGUG